UGGGGAAUAUUGGACAAUGGGGGCAACCCUGAUCCAGCCAUGCCGCGUGUGUGAAGAAGGCCUUUUGGUUGUAAAGCACUUUAAGCAGUGAAGAAGACUCCGUGGUUAAUACCCACGGACGAUGGCAUUAGCUGCAGAAUAAGCACCGGCUAACUCUGUGCCAGCAGCCGCGGUAAUACAGAGGGUGCAAGCGUUAAUCGGAAUUACUGGGCGUAAAGCGAGCGUAAGUGGCUUGAUAAGUCAGAUGUGAAAUCCCCGGGCUUAACCUGGGAACUGCAUCUGAUACUGUUAGGCUAGAAUAGGUGAGAGGAAGGUAGAAUUCCAGGUGUAGCGGUGAAAUGCGUAGGGAUCUGGAGGAAUACCGAUGGCGAAGGCAGCCUUCUGGCAUCAUAUUGACACUGAGGUUCGAAAGCGUGGGUAGCAAACAG
rnacentral:rRNA from 1 species